rnacentral:rRNA from 1 species
GACGAACGCUGGCGGCGUGCUUAACACAUGCAAGUCGAACGGAAAGGCCCGGCGUUUGUGGGGUUCUCGAGUGGCGAACGGGUGAGUAACACAUGAGUAACCUGCCCUUGACUUUGGGGUAACUUCAGGAAACUGGGGCUAAUACCGGAUAGGAGCUCCUGCUGCAUGGUGGGGGUUGGAAAGUUUCGGCGGUUGGGGAUGGACUCGCGGGUUAUGCGCUUGUUGGGGUGGUAGUGGCUUACCAAGGUUUUGACGGGUAGCCGGCCUGAGAGGGUUACCGGCCACAUUGGGACUGCGAUACGGCCCAGACUCCUACGGGAGGCAGCAGUGGGGAAUAUUGCACAAUGGGCGGAAGCGUGAUGCAGCAACGCUGCGUGCGUGAUGACGGCCUUCGGGUUGUAAACCGAUUUCGCCUGUGACGAAGCGUGAGUGACGGUAAUGGGUAAAGAAGCACCGGCUAACUACGUG